rnacentral:rRNA from 1 species
AUGUCGAAGGAUGUGCUCGCCGACAUCCCCGCCGGCGAGGCACCGGCGAAACGCGCGCCCCUCAACAAGUACGCCCUCGCCUGCGCCAUUCUCGCCUCCAUGAACUCCAUCCUCCUCGGCUAUGAUGUCUCGGUGAUGAGCGGCGCGCAGAUAUUCAUGAAGAGGGACCUGCACAUCACGGACACGCAGAUCGAGGUCCUCGCCGGCAUCAUCAACAUCUUCUCGCUCGUCGGCUCGCUCGCGGCGGGCCGCACGUCCGACUGGAUCGGCCGGCGCUACACCAUGGUCCUCGCGUCGGUCAUCUUCUUCGCGGGCGCGCUCAUCAUGGGCCUCGCCCCGGGCUACGCGGUCCUCAUGCUCGGCCGCUUCGUCGCCGGCGUCGGCGUCGGCUACGCGCUCAUGAUCGCGCCGGUGUACACGGCCGAGGUCGCCCCCACCUCCGCCCGCGGCCUGCUCACGUCCUUCCCGGAGGUGUUCAUAAACACCGGGGUGCUCCUCGGCUACAUCUCCAACUACGCCUUCCACGGCCUGCCCGUGCACCUCAGCUGGCGCGCCAUGUUCCUCGCCGGCCCCGUGCCGCCGGUCUUCCUCGCUGUUGGCGUGCUCUCCAUGCCGGAGUCGCCGCGGUGGCUCGUCAUGCAGGGCCGCAUCGGGGACGCGCGCCGCGUGCUCGAGAAGACCUCCGACUCCCCUGAGGAGGCCGUGGAGCGGCUCGCCGACAUCAAGAGCGCCGUCGGCAUCCCCGAGGGGAUCGCCGACGACAAUAACGACGAGUUGCUCGCCAUCGUUCGCAAGAACAAGGGCACCCACGGCGAGGGCGUCCUGAGGGACCUGCUGCUCCACCCGACGCCGCCGGUGCGCCGCAUCCUGAUCGCCUGCCUCGGUCUCCAGUUCUUCCAGCAAGCCUCCGGCAUCGACUCCGUGGUGCUGUACAGCCCACGGGUGUUCGAGAAGGCCGGCAUCAAGUCCGACGCCAACACGCUCGGAGCCACCAUCUCGGUGGGCGCGACCAAGACGCUCUUCAUCCUCGUGGCCACGUUCCUCCUCGACCGCGUCGGGCGGAGGCCGCUGCUCCUCACCAGCGCCGGCGGGAUGUUGGUGUCGCUCGUGACGCUGGCGUCGACGCUGCACGUGAUCGCCCAGCGGGCCUCACCGGCGGACGGGGCGACGGCGCUGUCGGGGGUGAGCAUCGCGUCGGUGCUGACGUUCGUGGCGUCGUUCUCGAUCGGGAUGGGGCCCAUCGCGUGGGUGUACAGCUCGGAGAUCUUCCCGCUGCGGCUGCGCGCGCAGGGGUGCGCGCUCGGCACGGCGAUGAACCGGAUCAUGAGCGGAGCCAUCACCAUGUCCUUCUACUCGCUCUCCCACAAGAUCACGCUCGCCGGGAACUUCUACCUCUACGCCAGCAUAGCUGCCGCCGGGUGGGUGUUCAUGUACUGCUUCCUGCCGGAGACGAGGGGCCGGGGCCUGGAGGACACCGAGAAGCUCUUCGGUGGUGGCGAUGGCGUGGAGAAGGAAGACGGCCAUGGGCAUGCCAAGUCCACGGAGUUGACUACUCAGUAG